rnacentral:rRNA from 1 species
CGCAUCUGUGCAUGCAGCAUAUCAAUAAGCGGAGGAAAAGAAACUAACAAGGAUUCCCUCAGUAACGGCGAGUGAAGCGGGAAGAGCUCAAAUUUGAAAUCUUGAAAGGUCACCUUUCACGAAUUGUAGUUUAAAGAAGUGUUUUCUGUUACGAUCGUAAUAUAAGUUCUUUGGAAUAGGACAUCACAGAGGGUGAGAAUCCCGUCUAUGAUUGCGAUUUGUAGCUUUGUGAUACACUUUCAAAGAGUCGGGUUGUUUGGGAAUGCAGCCCAAAACGGGAGGUAAAUUUCUUCUAAGGCUAAAUAUUGGCGAGAGACCGAUAGCGAACAAGUACCGUGAGGGAAAGAUGAAAAGAACUUUGAAAAGAGAGUUAAAUAGUACGUGAAAUUGUCAAAAGGGAAGCGUUUAACACCAGUGUUGUUUUCUGAAGAUCAACCUCUGUUAGCUUUAUGCAUGUUUGUUUAGACCUAAUCAGCUAUCUUGCAUGUUCUAUUGUUUGCAGUGGUGCACUUUUCAGUUUACAGGUCAACAUCAGUUUUUUUUACCGUAAAAAAGUUAAAGAAAGGUAGCUCAUGGCUCCGGUCGUGAGUGUUAUAGUCUUUUUCCUAUGCGGUAGGAGAGACUGAGGUCUGCAGUGUAGGCUAUUUGGCUAGAUACUCAGGUGCUAUGUGAUACCAUUUCAUAACCAACUUGUUGAUUAUGUUUUGUCUAUUGCAUACUCGCUUGUACUAUCAUACCUACGCUUAGGAUGUUGACGAUCAGCUGAGCGCG